rnacentral:sRNA from 1 species
UGUAACCGUUAACACGGUUGCAAUGCGUAUAACUAGAAUAUGAGAAAUUCCUCUUUGACUGGCCAAUAGCGAUAUUGGCCAUUUUUUU